rnacentral:rRNA from 1 species
AUGAACGCUGGCGGCGUGCCUAAUACAUGCAAGUCGAGCGAACAGACGAGGAGCAUGCUCCUCUGACGUUAGCGGCGGACGGGUGAGUAACACGUGGAUAACCUACCUAUAAGACUGGGAUAACUUCGGGAAACCGGAGCUAAUACCGGAUAAUAUAUUGAACCGCAUGGUUCAAUAGUGAAAGACGGUUUUGCUGUCACGUAUAGAUGGAUCCGCGCCGCAUUAGCUAGUUGGUAAGGUAACGGCUUACCAAGGCAACGAUGCGUAGCCGACCUGAGAGGGUGAUCGGCCACACUGGAACUGAGACACGGUCCAGACUCCUACGGGAGGCAGCAGUAGGGAAUCUUCCGCAAUGGGCGAAAGCUUGACGGAGCCACGCCGCGUGAGUGAUGAAGGUCUUCGGAUCGUAAAACUCUGUUAUUAGGGAAGAACAAAUGUGUAAGUAACUAUGCACGUCUUGACGGUACCUAAUCAGAAAGCCACGGCUAACUACGUG